CCAAAGUCCAAAUCUAUGCAAGAAGCAAGUCCGAGUAAUCCAACUACCACUCUCUAUUUAGUAGUGAUUAUAGCAAACUCACCCCGUGUCGAUUUCCAUUUCUAAUUAAGGACCUACCAAGGGUAGUCCAGCUUGUGCCGCCUAAGUGCCUGUGGUAGCCCGACAUCCCUACUCUUGGAAUGUGUCUGUCCCACUCGACCCCGUAGGCUUCUCAAUACUGCACGAGCGAACAUAAGUCGCGUAGGCUAACUCCGGAGUGCCGGCUUGUAGGGAGCGACCCUCACAAGCAUGUGCGAAUGAGCACAAAUGGCAAACAAGCAAGGUCACUGUCUCAAAUACUCUAUCCACAUGUCUCUAACAUGGCAAGGUCACUAGCAUCCCAAGGAUCUAGCCCAAUGUCUCUAAGUGAUGUCCCAACACUCACUUGCUUAGUGCCUCUUUAUGACACUUAAGCAUCACAACAGAUCGAGCCCAAAUCUUGUUCUAUGUUUCAAUUAAAACAUUAAUACCAAUGAUUACCAUGACCCGGGCCCAAUGCCUCUUUAUGACAUUGUCCCAAUUCUCAAAUAGUCCAAGUUCUCAAGCCCUCUCUAGGCUUCUAACAUUCCUAAUGUCACAAUUGGCAUAUAGGUUAAAUGCAUGAAAGCAAGAUUCAUUUCCAUAAUAGGAAUCAUGGUUCCCAAUCAUAACUAGAAUGCUAAGUCUCACAUGCAUGCACUCUACCACAUAGGGGUCUAAAAUUUCACUAUACAUAAUAUAUGCAUGUUAAGCAUUCUAAAAUUCAUAUUAAAUACAUUUAACAUGGAAAGGCAUGAAUUUCUACUUUACGAAACAUAUUUUGCCAAAUAUGAGCAUUUCUCAUAUCAUAGGCUAGGUCAAACCCACCGAACCGUCGCGUGCUCCUUCGAUUCGCCGAACGGAGUUGUCCACGAGCCUCAAGAUACCCUAAAAGUGAUCAGCGAAGAGAUACACAAGCAUUACGAGCAACUCUAGGCUCGAACAAUAACAAUCACAAGAAUAGGGCAAAAACUCACCUAGGGAGUAGAAAUUCUCACUCAAGCUCCAAAAGAAGGCUAGGAUCCUUCCAAUCUAACCCAAAGGAGGGUUCUAAUCCAAAAAAUCUAGCCUCAAAAGCCCUAGAUCAAAAAGCCCCAAAAUCAACCCUAAAUCUCAUUUCUAGGGUUUCAUCUCCCAAAAAUCACCAAAACAAGAAUCUAUAGGAAGAAACAUGUUACUAACCCUUUGGAAGCUUCAAUCCAAGCUCAAAAUGCCCUAGGGUUGAAGUUUGGUCCACCACCAAGCUCCAAAGGCAAGCUCCAAUCCACCAAAAGGGAGAAGAAAGGGUGGAGAUGAAGCUCCAAGUCCUCUACAAGCUCUUCUUCUCCUUCCUUCUCCUUCCUCUCCCACUCUCUCUCUCUCUAGAAGCAAAAGAAAUGGUGAAGUGAGGAAGGGGAGAAGGAGAAGUGGCCAUAUAAGCCUUCUCUUGUAACAAAAUCCUGUGAGGCCCCUCAAAAAUCCAAUAUUGCAUCAGCCCGGUCUGGGCAGUUUUCGCCCAGAGGGACCGGUCUCUCCCCAGCAGGGACCGGUCUCUCGCUGCGAACCCGAAAAACCAACGUUCGGGAACCGGUCUCUCCCUGCGCGGGACCGGUCUCUCUCUGCGAAGGCGCGCUCGGGGACCGGUCUCGCCUGCCAGGGACCGGUUGCCUCAGGGCUGCCGCAACACUGCUCACUGGGGGACUGGUCUCUCCUUCCAGGGACCGGUCCCCGAGAGUAAAAACUCUCAGGACUUGUCCAGAAUUCCAGUUUUCGAACUUUUUAGGUCGGAAAACAUUCUACAACCCUCCACCAAGUGUGGAAAAGCUCGAAAUACAUCCAAACACUCGAACCUCGCAAUUUGCAAAGGUCCAG
rnacentral:lncRNA from 1 species